AGAGUUUGAUCCUGGCUCAGAUUGAACGCUGGCGGCAGGCCUAACACAUGCAAGUCGAGCGGAAACGACACUAACAAUCCUUCGGGUGCGUUAAUGGGCGUCGAGCGGCGGACGGGUGAGUAAUGCCUAGGAAAUUGCCUUGAUGUGGGGGAUAACCAUCGGAAACGAUGGCUAAUACCGCAUAAUGCCUACGGGCCAAAGAGGGGGACCUUCGGGCCUCUCGCGUCAAGAUAUGCCUAGGUGGGAUUAGCUAGUUGGUGAGGUAAUGGCUCACCAAGGCGACGAAUUCCCCCUAGCUGGUCUGAGAGGAAUGAUCAGCCACACUGGAACUGAGACACGGUCCAGACUCCUACGGGAGGCAGCAGUGGGGAAUAUUGCACAAUGGGCGAAAGCCUGAUGCAGCCAUGCCGCGUGGUAUGAAGAAGGCCUUCGGGUUGUAAAGUACUUUCAGUUGUGAGGAAGGGGGUGUUGUUAAUAGCAACAAUCUCUUGACGUUACCACCAGAAGAAGCACCGGCUAACUCCGUGCCAGCAGCCCGCGGUAAUACCGAAGGGUGCGAAGCGUUAAUCGGAAUUACUUGGGCGUAAAGCCGCUUGCAAGGUGGUUCAUUUAAGUCAGAUGUGAAAGCCCGGGGCUCAACCUCGGACCUGCAUUUGAAACUGGUGAACUAGAGUACUGUAGAGGGGGGUAGAAUUUCAGGUGUAGCGGUGAAAUGCGUAGAGAUCCGAAGGAAUACCAGUGGCGAAGGCGGCCCCCUGGACAGAUACUGACACUCAGAUGCGAAAGCGUGGGGAGCAAACAGGAUUAGAUACCCUGGUAGUCCACGCCGUAAACGAUGUCUACUUGGAGGUUGGGCCUUGAGCCGGGCUUUCGGAGCUAACGCGUUAAGAGACCGCCUAAGAGACGUCGCAAG
rnacentral:rRNA from 1 species